GGCCGGUUAGCUCAGUUGGUUAGAGCGUGGUGCUAAUAUUUGGUGUUCUGUAUAAAAUUACGCCAAGGUCGCGGGUUCGACCCCCGUACGGGCCA